AAGGCUUUAGCUUAAUUAAAGUGUCUGCUUUGCAUGCAGAAGAUGUGGGAUAGUGUCCUGCAAGUCUUA
rnacentral:tRNA from 2 species